rfam:Brassica napus, WGS project CCCW01000000 data, contig: 8464
GGAAUAUAAGAAACCGUCUCCUAACUUUUAACUAAAAAGAUAAGAAAAUGUUCUUAAAUAAGAUAUUUAAGAACCAGUUCUUAGCUUUUUUAGUUAAAAGUUAAGAAACAGUUUCUUAUAUUCC